GGGGAAUUUUCCGCAAUGGGCGCAAGCCUGACGGAGCAAUACCGCGUGUGGGAGGAAGCCUUUUGGGGUGUAAACCACUUUUAUCAGGGAAGAAUCGAUGACGGUACCUGAUGAAUCAGCAUCGGCUAACUCCGUGCCAGCAGCCGCGGUAAUACGGAGGAUGCAAGCGUUAUCCGGAAUUAUUGGGCGUAAAGCGUCCGUAGGUGGCUUAUCAAGUCUUUUGUCAAAUCGUGCAGCUCAACUGCAUACGGGCGGAGGAAACUGAUGAGCUAGAGUGCGAUAGGGGUCACAGGAAUUCCCAGUGUAGCGGUGAAAUGCGUAGAUAUUGGGAAGAACACCAGCGGCGAAAGCGUGUGACUGGGUCUGCACUGACACUGAGGGACGAAAGCUAGGGGAGCGAAAGGGAUUAGAUACCCCUGUAGUCCUAGCCGUAAACGAUGACAACUAGGUGUGGUUCGUAUCGACCCGAGCCGUGCCGUAGCCAACGCGUUAAGUUGUCCGCCUGGGGAGUACGCACGCAAGUGUGAAACUCAAAGGAAUUGACGGGGGCCCGCACAAGCGGUGGAGUAUGUGGUUUAAUUCGAUGCAACGCGAAGAACCUUACCAAGGCUUGACAUCCUCGGAAUCCCCUUGAAAGGGGGGAGUGCCUUCGGGAGCCGAGAGACAGGUGGUGCAUGGCUGUCGUCAGCUCGUGUCGUGAGAUGUUGGGUUAAGUCCCGCAACGAGCGCAACCCACGUUUUUAGUUGCCAGCAUUCAGUUGGGCACUCUAGAGAGACUGCCGGUGACAAACCGGAGGAAGGUGUGGAUGACGUCAAGUCAGCAUGCCCCAUACGCCUUGGGCUACACACGUACUACAAUGCGUUGGACAAAGAGCCGCCAACCAGCGAUGGUGAGCCAAUCUCAUAAACCAACGCUCAGUUCAGAUUGCAGGCUGCAACUCGCCUGCAUGAAGGCGGAAUCGCUAGUAAUCGCAGGUCAGCAUACUGCGGUGAAUACGUUCCCGGGCCU
rnacentral:rRNA from 1 species